rnacentral:rRNA from 1 species
GAUGAACGCUGGCGGCGUGCUUAACACAUGCAAGUCGAACGAAGCAUUUAGAACGGAUUACUUCGGUUUGAAGUUCUUUAUGACUGAGUGGCGGACGGGUGAGUAACGCGUGGGUAACCUGCCUUGUACUGGGGGAUAGCAGCUGGAAACGGCUGGUAAUACCGCAUAAGCGCACAAUGUUGCAUGACAUGGUGGGAAAAACUCCGGUGGUAUAAGAGGGACCCGCGUCUGAUUAGCUAGUUGGUGAGAUAACAGCCCACAAAGGCGACGAUCAGUAGCCGACCUGAGAGGGUGACCGGCCACAUUGGGACUGAGACACGGCCCAGACUCCUACGGGAGGCAGCAGUGGGGAAUAUUGCACAAUGGAGGAAACUCUGAUGCAGCGACGCCGCGUGAGUGAAGAAGUAAUUCGUUAUGUAAAGCUCUAUCAGCAGGGAAGAUAGUGACGGUACCUGACUAAGAAGCUCCGGCUAAAUACGUGCCAGCAGCCGCGGUAA